UCUAUGAAAAAUCAAAAGAUCCAAACUUGAAUAAUUUCUUCGCCAGAUUCCCAAAGCUAUAUUUGUCUAAGCAAAACCUAAAAGGUUAAUUUUUUUUAAUGCUACAACGAAAGCUUGCAAUAUUGCUGGUACAAAUUGAAAUCUUCUUAAAACAUUUCAACUGCGACGCAUAAAUUGUUUACUCCCCGUUUCUUAUUAAACUGUAUCAAGAAAACACUACAAAAAAUCUUAAAUGAUCGAUCAACACAAAGAUUUGAUCAUUUUUUCACCUUGAAGGUGUAGAAUAUUUCGAAGGUACAAAAAGGUACAAUGAGUUCAACACUACGAUUCCAAAAAUUUUAAUUUCUCUAUGAAAAAUCAAAAGAUCCAAACUUGAAUAAUUUCUUCGCCAGAUUCCCAAAGCUAUAUUUGUCUAAGCAAAACCUAAAAGGUAAAUUUUUUUUUGAAUGCUACAAAGAAAGCUUGCAAUAUUUCUGGUAGAAAGUGAAAUCUCCCAAAAACAUUUAAAAUACGACGCUUACAUUGUUUACUACCUGUUUCUUAUAAAACGAUAUCAAGAAAACAGUACAAAAAA
rnacentral:lncRNA from 1 species